UACGUAGGGGGCUAGCGUUGCUCGGAAUCACUGGGCGUAAAGGGUGCGUAGGCGGGUUUUUAAGUCAGAGGUGAAAUCCUGGAGCUCAACUCCAGAACUGCCUUUGAUACUGAGAAUCUUGAGUAUGGGAGAGGUGAGUGGAACUGCGAGUGUAGAGGUGAAAUUCGUAGAUAUUCGCAAGAACACCAGUGGCGAAGGCGGCUCACUGGCCCGGAACUGACGCUGAGGUGCGAAAGCGUGGGGAGCAAACAGG
rnacentral:rRNA from 1 species